AAUACGCAUAUCGGGUGUCAAGUGUUUCCAAAACUCAGUUGGCUGCAUAAUUAUGGCUGCUUACAGAGCGAGAAUAAAAGAAUUCGAUGACCUAUUAAAUUCCGAAGAAAUAGAUCUGAAAACAUUAAGGAAGCUCUGUUUUAAUGGAGUUCCAGAUGAACAGGGCAGAAGGGCGUUGUGCUGGAAGCUUCUGCUCAAUUACUUACCACCAACUCAUUGUACAUGGAGUGAAACCUUAAGUAGGAAGAGAGAAUUGUACAGACAAUUUAUUGAGGAAAUGAUUGUGAUGCCAGGAGUUGCAGAUGAUGAUGACUCAUGUCGAACUGAUGUUACAUUGACAGAUCAUCCUCUGAAUUUAAAUCCUGACAGCAAGUGGCAAACUUUCUUCAAGGAUAAUGAAGUUCUCUUGCAAAUAGACAAAGAUGUUAGGAGGCUAUGUCCUGAUAUAUCAUUUUUCCAACAAGCCACUGACUUUCCAUGUCAGCAAGUAGUUCAUAGUAAAGGCGUAAAACGCCUUCAUAGAAGAGUUCAACAUACAGUGUUAAAAUCUGCAAAUGUGGAGAGGAAAGGCCUUGGAAUUACAAAGAUAGCACUCUCCAUUAAAAAAGCGCCAGAAGAUUAUGCACCAAUGGCAGAAGGCAUGGAAGCUCACUGGGAAGUAGUGGAGCGUAUACUGUUUUUAUAUGCUAAGUUGAAUCCUGGGCAAGGUUAUGUUCAAGGAAUGAAUGAAAUCAUUGGCCCUAUUUACUAUGCAUUUGCUUCCAACCCAGAUGCUGAAUGGAGAGAAUUUGCAGAAGCUGAUUGCUUUUUCUGCUUCACAAAUUUAAUGGGAGAAAUAAGAGACUUCUUCAUCAAAUCCCUUGAUGAAGCAGAAUGUGGUAUAAGUGGUAUGAUGGCACGCCUUGGUGAACAGCUUCGUAAGAGUGAUCUGCAAGUGUGGCUCCGUCUCCAGCAGCUGGAAUUGCGCCCACAAUAUUACAGUUUUAGGUGGCUGACACUACUUUUGUCUCAAGAAUUUCCUUUGCCAGAUGUCCUUAGGAUUUGGGACUCUCUAUUUGCUGAUGAGCAUCGUUUUGAUUUUCUUAUCUACAUUUGUUGCUCAAUGAUUAUAUUACUUCGUGAGGAACUAUUGACGGGUGAUUUUCCUUCAAAUGUGAAAUUACUCCAGAACUUUCCGUCAAUGGAUAUCCAAGUUGUACUGUCCAAGGCAGCAGAACUAGGUGGACUGAAAGCUUCAUGAAUUUUAUUUUGGACUGCAGAGUUGGAUAAAAACAGAAUGUCCCGAAGGCAGCACAGUGUGACAAAGUUCUCAGGGUCUUCAAGAGACUUAUAGGUGAUCUGCUCUCCCUUGUGGGAUCUAAAAAGGGGAGGCAAUAUUUCUUCCAUGAACUCUUCCAUGCUCGUGGUAAAAUUCUCAUUUGCUAUUUUGGAGCAGUGGCAUUUAAGUGGACACUUCUCAUAUACAAAGCUGUAUAGCUUUAAAGUGCUGUGAAAAAAUUCUUUUCUCAUUUUUUGUACAGCAAUAAUAUAUUUUUGUACCAAACUUACAGACUUUUUAAUGAAAAACUGGUGUUGUUAGAGAUGUUGUUUUUGGUACUGGUUUAAGUUUAUGGUUGACUGUUACUUAAUUCUAUUGUUAAUGUUGUAAAGAGCUCAAUAUGCAGCCUCAGAUGUUAUUACAUAAAAUCCUAUGUAAAAUAUUUUGACAUGUUAUAUUUUGUGAAAUAUUGAAUUAUAUAACAUCACAGUAAGUUGCUGAGGUGUAGAGAUUUAUAUUGUGUGUUUUUGCACAAGGUGUAUCUGUAUCUUAUUGAUUACCAUGUUGUACAUCAUACUUGAACAUUUUGCAUUCUUUUUUCUUCAGUAAAUGAAUAUGUUGUGUCUUUGAAGAUUUAAGAAAGUUCUCGUUGCAUAAAUAUAUGCUUUGAACAUGAGACAGAACUCACACAAAAUGGGGGGGGGGGGGGGGGGGGC